rnacentral:rRNA from 1 species
UACGUAGGGUGCAAGCGUUGUCCGGAAUUAUUGGGCGUAAAGAGCUCGUAGGCGGUCUGUCGCGUCGGCUGUGAAAACUCGGGGCUCAACCCCGAGCCUGCAGUCGAUACGGGCAGACUAGAGUUCGGUAGGGGAGACUGGAAUUCCUGGUGUAGCGGUGAAAUGCGCAGAUAUCAGGAGGAACACCGGUGGCGAAGGCGGGUCUCUGGGCCGAAACUGACGCUCAGACACGACAGCAUGGGGAGCGAACGGG